AUUGAACGCUGGCGGCAGGCCUAACACAUGCAAGUCGAACGAGUGGCGGACGGGUGAGUAAUGUCUGGGAAACUGCCCGAUGGAGGGGGAUAACUACUGGAAACGGUAGCUAAUACCGCAUACCAUCGGAUGUGCCCGGGUGGGAUUAGCUAGUGGGUGGGGUAACGGCUCACCUAGGCGACGCUCCCUAGCUGGUCUGGGAGGAUGACCAGCCACCCUGCAACUGAGACACGGUCCAGACUAAAACGGGACGCGGCAGAGGGGAAUAUUGCACAAUGGGCGCAAGCCUGAUGCAGCCAUGCCGCGUAGAGUAAGAAGUGCUUCGGGUUUUAAAGUACUUUUAGCGAGGUAGCGUUACUCGCAGAAGAAGCACCGGCUAACUCCGUGCCAGCAGCCGCGGUAAUAC
rnacentral:rRNA from 1 species